UCUGUAGUUGAUUGGUCUCCUCUGUAGUUGAUUGGUCUCCUCUGUAGUUGAUUGGUCUCCUCUGUAGUUGACUGGUCUCCUCUGGUCUCCUCUGUAGUUGACUGGUCUCCUCUGUAGUUGACUGGUCUGCUCUGUAGUUGACUGGUCUCCUCUGUAGUUGAUUGGUCUCCUCUGUAGUUUACUGGUCUCCUCUGGUCUCUGUAGUUGACUGGUAUCCUCUGGUCUCUGUAGAUGACUGGUCUCCUCUGGUCUCUGUAGAUGACUGGUCUCCUCUGGUCUCCUCUGUAGUUUGCUGGUCUCCUCUGGUCUCUGUAGUUGACUGGUCUCCUCUGGUCUCUUCUGUAGUUGACUGGUCUCCUCUGUAGUUGAAUGGUCCCCUCUGGUAUCCUCUGUAGUUGACUGGUCUCCUCUGUAGUUGACUGGUCUCCUCUGUAGUUGAUUGGUCUCCUCUGUAGUUUACUGGUCUCCUCUGGUCUCUGUAGUUGACUGGUCUCCUCUGGUCUCUGUAGUUGACUGGUCUCCUCUGUAGUUGACUGGUCUCCUCUGUAGUUGACUGGUAUCCUCUGGUCUCUGUAGUUGACUGGUCUCCUCUGGUCUCCUCUGUAGUUGACUGGUCUCCUCUGGUCUCCUCUGUAGUUUGCUGGUCUCCUCUGGUCUCUGUAGUUGACUGGUCUCCUCUGGUCUCCUCUGUAGUUGACUGGUCUCCUCUGGUUUCCUCUGUAGUUUGCUAGUCUCCUCUGGUCUCUGUAGUUGACUGGUCUCCUCUGUAGUUGACUGGUCUCCUCUGUAGUUGACUGGUAUCCUCUGGUCUCUGUAGUUGACCGGUCUCCUCUGUAGUUGACUGGUCUCCUCUGUAGUUGACUGGUCUCCUCUGGUCUCUGUAGAUCACUGGUCUCCUCUGUAGUUGACUGGUCUCCUCUGUAGUUGACUGGUCUCCUCUGGUCUCUGUAGAUCACUGGUCUCCUCUGUAGUUGACUGGUCUCCUCUGUAGUUGACUGGUCUCCUCUGUAGUUGACUGGUCUCCUCUGUAGUUGACUGGUCUCCUCUGUAGUUGAUUGGUCUCCUCUGUAGUUUACUGGUCUCCUCUGGUCUCUGUAGUUGACUGGUAUCCUCUGGUCUCUGUAGAUGACUGGUCUCCUCUGGUCUCCUCUGUAGAUGACUGGUCUCCUCUGGUCUCCUCUGUAGUUUGCUGGUCUCCUCUGGUCUCUGUAGUUGACUGGUCUCCUCUGGUCUCUUCUGUAGUUGACCGGUCUCCUCUGUAGUUGACUGGUCUCCUCUGUAGUUGACUGGUCUCCUCUGUAGUUGACUGGUCUCCUCUGGUCUCCUCUGUAGUUGACUGGUCUCCUCUGUAGUUGACGGGUCUCCUCUGUAGUUGACUGGUCUCCUCUGUAGUUGACUGGUCUCCUCUGUAGUUGACUGGUCUCCUCUGUAGUUGACUGGUCUCCUCUGGUCUCCUCUGUAGUUGACUGGUCUCCUCUGGUCUCUUCUGUAGUUGACUGGUCUCCUCUGUAGUUGACUGGUCUCCUCUGUAGUUGACUGGUCUCCUCUGGUCUCCUCUGUAGUUGACGGGUCUCCUCUGUAGUUGACUGGUCUCCUCUGUAGUUGACUGGUCUCCUCUGUAGUUGAUUGGUCUCCUCUGUAGUUUACUGGUCUCCUCUGGUCUCUGUAGUUGACUGGUAUCCUCUGGUCUCUGUAGUUGACUGGUCUCCUCUGGUCUCCUCUGUAGUUGACUGGUCUCCUCUGGUCUCCUCUGUAGUUUGCUGGUCUCCUCUGGUCUCUGUAGUUGACUGGUCUCCUCUGGUCUCCUCUGUAGUUGACUGGUCUCCUCUGGUCUCCUCUGUAGUUUGCUGGUCUCCUCUGGUCUCUGUAGUUGACUGGUCUCCUCUGUAGUUGACUGGUCUCCUCUGUAGUUGACUGAUCUCCUCUGGUCUCCUCUGUAUUUUACUGGUCUCCUCUGUAGUUGACUGGUCUCCUCUGGUCUCUUCUGUAGUUGACUUGUCUCCUCUGUAGUUGACUGGUCUCCUCUGGUCUCCUCUAUAUUUGACUGGUCUCCUCUGAUCUCCACUGUAGUUGACUGGUCUCCUCUGGUCUCUGUAGUUGACUGGUCUCCUCUGGUGUCCUCUGUAGUUGACUGGUCUCCUCUGUAGUUUACUGGUCUCCUCUGUAGUUGACUGGUCUCCUCUGGUCUCUGUAGUUGACUGGUCUCCUCUGUAGUUGACUGGUCUCCUCUGUAGUUGACUGGUCUCCUCUGGUCUCCUCUGUAGUUGAGUGGUCUCCUCUGGUCUCCUCUGUAGUUGACUGGUCUUCUCUGGUCUCCUCUAUAGUUGACUGGUCUCUUCUGGUCUCUGUAGUUCACUGGUCUCCUCUGGUCUCUGUAGUUGGCUGGUCUCCUCUGUAGUUGACUGGUCUCCUCUGCUCUCUGUAGUUGACUGGUCUCCUCUGGUCUCUGUAGUUCACUGGUCUCCUCUGGUCUCUGUAGUUGGCUGGUCUCCUCUGUAGUUGACUGGUCUCCUCUGGUCUCUGUAGUUGACUGGUCUCCUCUGGUCUCCUCUGUAGUUGACUGGU
ensembl:lncRNA